AGCUUUUCCAGUUCAUAAACAUGAUGAAUGGGUUCUCAUGCACUUACAUGACAUGUGCCUCCCUCAUGUGCCCUUGUUAUGACAUGAGCAUGUUACCUGUCUGGCG